AUACAGAGGCCAAGAGCGUUGUUCGGAUUUACUGGGCGUAAAGGGCGCGUAGGCGGUCUUGCGUGUCAAGUGUGAAAUCUCCGGGCCCAACCCGGAAAGUGCGCUUGAAACUACAGGACUCGAGUCUGGGAGAGGGAAUCGGAAUGCAGGGUGUAGCGGUGAAAUGCGGUGAUAUCCUGCAGAACACCGGAGGCGAAGGCGGAUGCCGUGAACAGCAAUGACGCUGAGGCGCGAAAGGCGGGGGAGCAAACAGGAUUAGAUACCCUGGUAGGCCCGACCUUAAACGGUGCACACUCGGGGUGGGGCCAGUUCACCGGCCCCGUCCCUUAGCUAACGCGUUAAGUGGGCCGCCUGGGGAGUACGGCCGCAAGGCUAAAACUCAAAUGAAUUGACGGGG
rnacentral:rRNA from 1 species